rnacentral:lncRNA from 1 species
AUGAAGGAAGUCAAGGCUCCAGUAUUCUGGGCCUGCCACAUUUGGAGUACAGCCUCUCUCAACUGGAAAAUAGUAAAGGAUGUCUUCUUGCAAUGGCUCCCACCUCGCACUGAAGAAUGAGAUGAAAGCCAUACCUGACAGGUGUCAUCACAGUCCCAAGAGAGAAUGCAAAGAGAACAGAAAGAAAUACUGAUGGCACCAGCACUUUACUACAUUCAG